AAUAAAAAUUUUACUCUAGUUUAAUAAUAAAACAAACACUUAAUUUUUAUAGAAAAUCCCCUUAAUAAACUUCCUAUUCUAAUAAAAAAUUUUUAAUAACAAUUAACUUGUUUUUAGUAAAAAAUUGAUAAAAUAGGUGCCAGCAAUCGCGGUUAAACCUAAAAUUAAUUUAUUAACACAAUCAAACAAAUAAUAUAACCUCAUUAUUAAUAAACUUUAUAAACAGUAAAAUGUGUUAUAUAAUUUUAUUUCAACCAGCAUUAUUUAAAAAACAAUAACUUAAAAAAGGAUUAGAUACCCUUCUAUAUUUUUUCUGAAAACAAUUGAAGGUAUUAUUUGUUUCAUCAACCAAACCUAAAGAACCUGGCGGCAUUAUUUAAUUUAAGGAACCUGUUUCUAAUCGUCAUCACACGAUAAACCCUACCUUAUUUAAUAGUUUGUAUAUAACUGAAUACCUUUAUAUUCAAUAAUAUAAAUUAUGAACUGUAAAUUUUAUUCAUCUAAUCUUCAAGUCAUCAUGCAGCAUAUUAAGAGUUAUUAUUGGUUACAAUUUUUAAUUUUAAUGGAUAAAAAAUAAAAUAUUUUUUUAAAAUUGGAUUAACAAGUAAAUAAAUUUUAGAAUAUUUUAUUGAAUAAAUAAUUAUAAUGUGUACAUAUCGCCCGUCACUCUCAAAAAAAUGAGAUAAGUCGUAACAAAGUAAAAUUACUGGAAAGUGAUUUUAAAAUCUAUGGUUUUAACCUAAAAAUAAAUGAUAUCUAUUUUUAACUUUUGUAUAGAAUUUCUUAAAUA
rnacentral:ncRNA from 1 species